AAUUUAGAUUUGUAAUGUUUUGACUUAUGUGUGAAUAUAUGAAACUGUGAAGGUAAAGGUAAAAUUAUAGUAUAAGUUACCUUUGGUAUCAGGGAUAUUUGAAAUUUUAUUUGCUAAUAAAUCCCGAAUGUUGUAGGGCUAUUUAAAUUUAAGGUUGUUUGUUUAAAUAAAUAUCUAUAAUAUUUAAAUAGUGAAGAUAUUUUAUUCAAUAUAAUUAUAACUGGUUAUUUAUAAAUAGGGAAUCUAUUUUUUUAUAAAUUUAUAAGGUUUUAUUUAAAGGUUUAAGUUUUUGAAUAAAUUGUUUGAUUUUAUUUUAUUUUAUGAAUGGAUUUUUAAUUUUUAGAGUGAAGUAAUAAAAUAAGUUGUUAAUUAAUUAAAUUAUUUAAGUGGUAAAAUGAUAAAUUUAUUAGUAUGAAUUAUUAUGGAGGUUAUGAUAAAUUAGUUUAAUGUAAUAAUGAUGUAAUUAAUGAAUUAGGCAAAAUAAGUGUUUGACUGUUUAACAAAAACAUUUCUUUUUAAUAAUUAAAAAAGUAGGCCCUGUUCCAUGAAUAUUAAAUAACCGCAGUAUUUAACUGUGCGAAGGUAGCAUAAUAAUUUUUUCUUUAAUUGAGAGGUUGGAUGAAAGGGUUAACAAAAUACUAACUGUGUCGAUGUAAUAUAAUAAUUUCGUGGAAAAGUUAAAAUACUUUUUUGUAUUAAAGGGACGACAAGACCCUAGAAGCUUUUGAAUGAAUAUUAUUUUUUAACUGGGGUGGUUUAUAUUAAAAACAAUAUUAUUGUAACAUUUUGAAUGGAUUAUAUAACCUUGAAUUAAAUAUGAGUUAAAGCUACUCUAGGGAUAACAGCGUAAUUAAGUUUGAGAGUUCAUAUCAAAGAUUUUAGUUGCGACCUCGAUGUUGAAUUAAAUAUAUUAUUCGGAGCAGAAGAUGAAUAGAGUGAGUUUGUUCAACUCUUAAAUGUUUACAUGAUUUGAGUUCAGACCGGUGUAAACCAGGUUGGAUUCUAUCUUUUAAUUUUAGGAUUAUUAAGUUGUACGAAAGGACUUUUAAUUAUUUAUAUUAAAUGUGCUAAUUU
rnacentral:rRNA from 1 species